GCCUGGGUGCAGUCUUUUGUUAUACUGUGAAUAAGCUCUGUGCCCUCCAAAACUCAUGUUGAGAGAGCUGGGAGCAGCCAUGAUGUACGACUGUAAUUUUAGCAUUUUGGGAUAUAGAGGCAGGAGCAUCAGGGGUUCAAAGUCACCCUCAGAUGCAUAGUGAGGUCAGCCUGAGACCUUGCUUUAAAACAAAAAUAAAUAAGUUAAAUAAAUAAAUAAAUAAAUAAAUAAAUACUAAGAAAAAAUUAGCUGGCAGUGGUGGUGCACGCCUUCAAUUCCAGCACUCUGGAGGCAGAGGCAGAUGGAUCUCCAUGAGUUAGAGGCCAGCCUGGUCUACAGAGUGAGUUUCAGGACAGCUAGGGAUGAUACAUAGAGAAACUCUGUGUCAAACAAAAGAAACAAACAAACAAAAAAAAACCAAAACCACCACCACCACAACAACAAAACAAAUUCAUCAUUUUGACAUUUUUGAUUGAUUGCUACUGUGUUGGAAGAGGGCUUCUGAGAAUUGAUUAUGUCUUUAGGAGUGCAUGUAUUUUAAAUGAGAGGUUGGUAGAAGCCAAGCUAGUUCCCCAGCCUCAUUAUUUCUGCAAGUGUCUGUAUACCUGCUUGCUUUCCUGCCACAAACUGAAGUAGCAAUCGCCCCUUUCCAGAAGUUGCCAUCAUACUCUUGGUCCUCCUAGCCUCCAGGACCAUGAGCCAUAAACUUCUCUUCUUUGUAGAUGACUCAGUCUCAGGGGCUCUGCUAUAACAAUAGGAAAUGGACUAACCCAAUUCCAGGCUAGGGAAACUCAGUGCAUUCGACUCUGAUGUGCUUCAGUAAUAGGUUUUCCUUAUGCGAAGAUGUCGAAAUGUGUGGGAUUUGUGUGGUACAGUAGCCAGAAUUGCUCUGUUUGCUGCCUUUCUAAGGCCCAGAGCCACCUCAAUAGUCAAAGGUUUUCUAAGAAAGAGGCACAAGCCGGGUGUAGUGUGCAUUUCUGGAGAGGUCAUGAUUUAAGACAAGAAGAGCUGAACUUUGUGGUCAAGUCCCAAGAGAUGAUUUCAAAGACGGAAAUGAAGAGUAAGUUGGGACAUCAGCAACCAGACAGAACAGGAGGAUCUUGGUGAUGCUGGCUAACAACACAAUGCCCUUGGUCUUCAGAAGAGGUUUAGGCUCCAGAAGUUGCCACAGAUGUACCUGGUGGUUCCCCACAUCAUUUCAGGGCCUCCAAAUCGGCUUUCCCUCUUUGAUGGAGUGAGCUGACUUUCCUUGAUAUCCCUAUCAGGUAUGUCCAUUUAGAAACGUACUCUCUUUUCUGAAAGGCCAUCAACUCUAUCUUCACAGCUGGGCUUCCAAUAAAAGCAAUCACUUGCACGCA
rnacentral:lncRNA from 1 species